UGCCCAGUCCCCUUGGACGAGUGAAUGGUGUCGUGGCUUUCUUUUCUUCUCAGCUCGAAGUCUGCAAAGAAUAGCAAAGUGAACCUUACUCGAGAAAAAAGCACCCUUCAAACUCUAGCUAUGAUUUCUGAUAUCCAAUUAGCAGCCUUCGCCAAUAUCUUGGGGGUGUCCCUAUUUCUUCUGGU